rnacentral:lncRNA from 1 species
GCAUGCGCAUAUUUUCAUUCGAGAGAGAAGGUUGCAUGAGAAGGCCUUGUGCAUGAGAUUGGAAGUUCAAAAAUUUUUGAGAGAAAAGAAAAGAAAGAAAGUGGGCGCAGGGUUUUCUAUGAGUAACCUAGGAUUUCUGCCUAGGGUUUGGAAAGUGAGAAGGUGAGCUACGAGUGUCGUGAGCCGACCAAACUUCAGAGAGAGCUUCAUCAACCUCUCAAGUAUCUCUGUUG